UGCCGGGAUAGCUCAGUU
rnacentral:tRNA from 2 species